GAGUCUUAAUUGGGCGUUAAGUUGCAGGGUAUAGACCCGAAACCCGGUGAUCUAGCCAUGGGCAGGUUGAAGGUUGGGUAACACUAACUGGAGGACCGAACCGACUAAUGUUGAAAAAUUAGCGGAUGACCUGUGGCUGGGGGUGAAAGGCCAAUCAAACCGGGAGAUAGCUGGUUCUCCCCGAAAGCUAUUUAGGUAGCGCCUCGUGAAUUCAUCUCCGGGGGUAGAGCACUGUUUCGGCUAGGGGGCCAUCCCGGCUUACCAACCCGAUGCAAACUGCGAAUACCGGAGAAUGUUAUCACGGGAGACACACGGCGGGUGCUAACGUCCGUCGUGAAGAGGGAAACAACCCAGACCGCCAGCUAAGGUCCCAAAGUCAUGGUUAAGUGGGAAACGAUGUGGGAAGGCCCAGACAGCCAGGAUGUUGGCUUAGAAGCAGCCAUCAUUUAAAGAAAGCGUAAUAGCUCACUGGUCGAGUCGGCCUGCGCGGAAGAUGUAACGGGGCUAAACCAUGCACCGAAGCUGCGGCAGCGAACGUAUCACUUAAAGCGAUUCAGCGGGUUACGAUUGACGGAGCGAAGCGACGUCAAAGCGUAUACAAAGUCGAGUCGGUUUAAGGAUACGUUCGUUGGGUAGGGGAGCGUUCUGUAAGCCUGUGAAGGUGGCCUGUGAGGGUUGCUGGAGGUAUCAGAAGUGCGAAUGCUGACAUAAGUAACGAUAAAGCGGGUGAAAAGCCCGCUCGCCGGAAGACCAAGGGUUCCUGUCCAACGUUAAUCGGGGCAGGGUGAGUCGACCCCUAAGGCGAGGCCGAAAGGCGUAGUCGAUGGGAAACGGGUUAAUAUUCCCGUACUUGGUGUUACUGCGAAGGGGGGACGGAGAAGGCUAUGUUGGCCGGGCGACGGUU
rnacentral:rRNA from 1 species